GCGUUUGAAAAGGUCAGAGAGAGUUCGGAGUCAGAGCCCACUGAUGCGCGUUUGAAAGUUUGGAUGACAAUUAAUCAAGAUGAACUUGCUGAAAUAUUUCAAAAGAAAAACGGAUCAUGGACAUGGAGAGAAGAAUCAAGCAGAGCUUCAGCAGACUACAGUGGGCAGUAUGUGCCAAGAAGCUGUGUCAUGACAUCCAAUACUACCUCAUCGAGUCAUUCGAGUGAUGAUGAGAGAUUUUUGGAUAUGGGAAUAACAACUGGAGAAGGCUGUGGCACUGCGGCAACCAUUUUCAGCAAGAUGGACUCUGUGUUGAAAGGGCACAGUAUACCUUGGCAGAAUUGCAUCGCUCUUUCUGUUGACAAUGCCAGCGUAAAUAUGGGAGACAGAAACUCUAUCAAAUCGAGGGUGCUGAAAGAAAACCCUUCAGUGUUCAUCCUAGGUUGCCCAUGCCACAUAGUGCACAACAAUGCCUCUGCUGCUGGUGCCGUGUACAGUGAGAUCACAGGGUUCGAUGUUGAGGACCUGGCAGUAGAUGUGGGCUUUUGGUUCAAAGUUAGCACCAAACGCAAGAACAUAUUGGAUGAAUUCUGUACGUUUUGUGACACAAGCUACAUGGAGACACUGCUGCAUGUGAGCACAAGAUGGCUUAGUUUGGAGAUGGUGGUCAGUCGGAUUCUACGUCUCUAUAAUGCACUAUAAAGAGUUAUUUUGGAAGCAUCCUUGAGAAGCAAAAAAGGUGUGUCCGGGUGCGUGACUCAUUCCAGGACCCAAUGACGGAGAUCCAUCUCUUGUUCUACCAGUCGACACUGAGGCCUAAAAAAAAAAAAAAAAAGUUUGGUUCCUGUUGGUUGGCAGUUGAGGUCAUGGAUCAGGUUGUUCGUCAAGAAACUCCUGUCCAAAUUCCUGAAGCCAGGAGCUUUUAGAGGCGUCAAUGUGGACACAGUGGACCUCAGGGAUGAGGAGAGCCAAUUGCCAGCUUGGUGUGGGCUUCACAACGAGGACAACGUUAAACCGCCUUGUGGAAGCAGAUGAUGUCUCCAUGGACUCUUCCAGGAGCUAGCCCCAGCUAAGCUCCCUUUACAUGACCCUGUGCUGGAGGUUCAAGGGUCGUGGACUUCAGACAAAAAAUGGAUACCACCUUGGAUGAUGUGCUCUACUUUGUUCAUAGAUUCAACCAUCCAACCAAGGGAGCAGGACCAGCUGAAUGAUGAAUUCCUAGAGUUUCAAAUGAUGGAGGAGGAAGAUAUACCUGCAUCCAUCUGGGGGCAAGCGGUCAUCAGGACAAAUGAGGAUGGAGUACCACAGGAUGGCCCACCUAUGGGUAUAUCUUGGAAAUCUUAAGAAUCGGGCAAGUGGCACUUUUAAAUUCCCCAAAUUAUUCAAGGUGGCCCAGAUUGUGUUGAGCAUGCCUCACUCAAAUGCGGAUGCUGAGCGAACAUUUUCACUGAUUGGCCUAAACUAGACUGACACCAGAAACAGACUGUCCCUUGAAGGCACCCUGUCGUCAAUCAGGACCAUGAAAAUGAGCAGCCUUGAACUUCAGAUACGAACCUCCUGCAGAGGUUGUGAAGCAGGCCAAAACUGCCACUGUGGCAUACAACAGGCCUAAUAUGUAACUUCUAUGUUCUGCCUCUGCUGAGGAGUGUACACGCAGCCAGCUCUGGGGAGCUGGGGUAACUAUUGUGUCCCUUUUUUGUUUUUGAAAUUUCUGUCUUUAUUCGAGAUGCCUGUCUUUAUUUUGUAUUAGUGCAAUCAAUAA